AACGAACGCUGGCGGCAGGCCUAACACAUGCAAGUCGAACGCUCCGCAAGGAGAGUGGCAGACGGGUGAGUAACGCGUGGGAACGUGCCCUUUGGUUCGGAAUAUUCCCGGGAAACUGGGAGCAAUACCGGAUAAGCCCUUCGGGGGAAAGAUUUAUCGCCAAAGGAUCGGCCCGCGUCAGAUUAGCUAGUUGGUGAGGCCAUGGCUCACCAAGGCUACGAUCUGUAGCUGGUCUGAGAGGAUGAUCAGCCACACUGGUACUGAGACACGGCCCAGACUGUUACGGGAGGCAGCAGUGGGUAAUCUUGGACAAUGGGCGCAAGCCUGGUCCAGCCAUGCCGCGUGGAUGAUGAAGGCCCUAGUGUUGUAAAAUCCUUUCGACGGGGAAGAUAAUGACGGUACCCGUAGAAGAAGCUCCGGCUAACUUCGUGCCAGCCGCCGCCGUAA
rnacentral:rRNA from 1 species